GCUGGGCGCGGUGGCACACGCCUGUAAUCCCAGUGGCUCAGGAGGCUGGGGCAGGAGGAUCACAAGUUCAAAGCCAGCCUAGGCAAAAGCAAGGUGCUAAGCAACCCAGUGAGACCCUGUCUCUA
rnacentral:sRNA from 1 species